GGAAAAGAAACCAACAGGGAUUGCCCCAGUAACGGCGAGUGAAGCGGCAACAGCUCAAAUUUGAAAUCUGGCCCCCAGGGCCCGAGUUGUAAUUUGCAGAGGAUGCUUUUGGCGCGGUGCCUUCCGAGUUCCCUGGAACGGGACGCCAUAGAGGGUGAGAGCCCCGUCUGGUCGGACGCCUAGCCUGUGUAAAGCUCCUUCGACGAGUCGAGUAGUUUGGGAAUGCUGCUCUAAAUGGGAGGUAUAUGUCUUCUAAAGCUAAAUACCGGCCAGAGACCGAUAGCGCACAAGUAGAGUGAUCGAAAGAUGAAAAGCACUUUGAAAAGAGGGUUAAAUAGUACGUGAAAUUGUUGAAAGGGAAGCGCUUGUGACCAGACUUGGGCCCGGUGGAUCAUCCAGCGUUCUCGCUGGUGCACUCCGCCGGGUUCAGGCCAGCAUCAGUUCGCCGCGGGGGAAAAAGGCUUCGGGAACGUGGCUCCUACGGGAGUGUUAUAGCCCGUUGCAUAAUACCCUGGGGCGGACUGAGGUUCGCGCUCCGCAAGGAUGCUGGCGUAAUGGUCAUCAGCGA
rnacentral:rRNA from 1 species